AUGGGCCACACAAGUCUCCAAGUAAUUUCUGCAGAGCAAGGAACUGAGGAUCAGCCAAGCACUUUAAUUGGCGUAGCAGGUAAAGCCGCCACCACCUCUAGUGCCAGUAUCCCAUAUGGGCACUGGUUCGAGUCCCAGAUGCUCUCUGCUAUAGCCUGGGAAAGCAGCAGAAGAUGGCCCAAGUCUUUGGGCCCCUGCACCCAUGUAGGAGACCCAGAAGAAGCUCCAAGCUCCUGGCUCCUGGCUUUGGAUCGGUGCAGCUCCGGCUGUUGCGGUUGGGGUGUAAACCAGCAGAUGGAAGACUUUCUCUCUCUCUCUCUCUCUCUCCUUCUCUGUCUGUUUAACUCUGACUUUCAAAUAAAUAAAUCUUUAAAAAAAUUGUUUCUUUCACAAGGAUGUCUUGUUGGGGCCUAAUGUUCUAACUUAACAGUAAAAAAAAAAAGCUGUCAUUAUCUCUUUUUUUUUAUUUUUUUUUAUUUUUUUUAUUUUAUUUUUUUUUUUAUUUUUGACAGGCAGAGUGGACAGUGAGAGAGAGAGACAGAGAGAGAAAGGUCUUCCUUUGCCGUUGGUUCACCCUCCAAUGGCCGCCGCUGCAGCCGGCGCACCGCGCUGAUCCGAUGGCAGGAGCCAGGAUCCAGGUGCUUUUCCUGGUCUCCCAUGGGGUGCAGGGCCCAAGCACCUGGGCCAUCCUCCACUGCACUCCCUGGCCACAGCAGAGAGCUGGCCUGGAAGAGGGGCAACCGGGACAGAAUCCGGCGCCCCGACCGGGACUAGAACCCGGUGUGCCGGCGCCACAAGGUGGAGGAUUAGCCUAUUGAGCCACGGCGCCGGCUCUGUCAUUAUCUCUUAAAGAAGGAGAAUUGCAUACAAAACCUUACAUAAAUUAUAAUGAAUGCACUGACAAGUGGCAAUGCAAAUCAUUUGCAACUCAAAGCAAGUUACAACUCACAGUGUUCCCGCGGGAAAACACCAGUCAAGAAAGGAAACUGGAUCCUUAGGCUCGGAUUUUUUUUUUUUUUUUUUUUGAGAUUUAUUUAUUUAUUUGAUAGGACAAAUUACACACACACACUGAGAGAGAGAGAGAGAGUGAGUCUUCCAUCUGCCGCUUCAAUCCUGAAAUGGUCACAAUGGCCAGAGCUGGGCCAAACCGAAGCCAGGAGCCAAGAGUUUCUUCCAGGUCUCCUGUGUGGGCGCAGGGGCCCAAGGACUUAGACCAUCUUCCACUGCUUUCCCAGUCCAUAGUAGAGAGCUGGAUUGGAAGUGGAGCAGCCGGGACUCAAACCGGCACCCAUAAGGGAUGCUGGCACUGCAGGCAGUGGCUUUACCUGCUACACUAUAGCGCUGGCCCCUAGGCUCAGAUUUUCCCAAGUCUAUUAGACAGGCAAGACUGAGAUGACAAAUGGCUUAGGAACUC
rnacentral:lncRNA from 1 species